UACGUAGGUGGCGAGCGUUGUCCGGAUUUAUUGGGUUUAAAGGGUGCGUAGGCGGCCCUGUAAGUCAGUGGUGAAAUUCUUGAGCUUAACUGAAGGAUUGCCAUUGAUACUGUAGGGCUUGAGUACAGAUGAGGUAGGCGGAAUUGAUGGUGUAGCGGUGAAAUGCAUAGAUACCAUCAAGAACACCGAUUGCGAAGGCGGCUUACUAAGCUGUAACUGACGCUGAUGCACGAAAGCGUGGGGAUCGAACAGG
rnacentral:rRNA from 1 species